rnacentral:rRNA from 1 species
UACGUAGGGAGCAAGCGUUGUCCGGAAUUACUGGGCGUAAAGGGCGCGUAGGCGGGAUAUUAAGUUAGGUGUGAAAACUCUGGGCUCAACUCAGAGACUGCACUUAAAACUGGUAUUCUUGAGGACAGGAGAGGAAAGUGGAAUUCCUAGUGUAGCGGUGAAAUGCGUAGAUAUUAGGAGGAACACCAGUGGCGAAGGCGACUUUCUGGACUGUAACUGACGCUGAGGCGCGAAAGCGUGGGGAGUGAACGGGAUUAGAUACCCCGGUAAUCCACGCUGUAAACGAUGGGUACUAGGUGUAGGAGGUAUCGACCCCUUCUGUGCCGGUGUUAACGCAAUAAGUACCCCGCCUGGGGAGUACGGCCGCAAGGUUGAA